rnacentral:rRNA from 1 species
AUUGAACGCUGGCGGCAGGCCUAACACAUGCAAGUCGAGCGAGCGGCGGACGGGUGAGUAAUGUAUGGGGACUGCCCGAUAGAGGGGGAUAACUACUGGAAAAGGUGGCUAAUACCGCAUACUAUCGGAUAACCCAUAUGGGAUUAGCUAGUAGGUGGGGUAAAGGCUUAACUAGGCGACGAUCUCUCGCUGGUAUGAGAGGAUGAUUACCCACACUGGGACUGAGACUCGGCCCAGACUGCUACGGAGGCAGCAGUGGGGAAUAUUGCACAAUGGGCGCAAGCCUGAUGCAGCCAUGCGGCGUGUAAGAAGAAGGCCUUAGGGUGGUAAAGUACUUUCAGCGGGUAGUCGUUACCCGCAGAAGAAGCACAGGCUAACGCCGUGCCAGCCUCCGCGGUAAUAC